rnacentral:tRNA from 1 species
GGAGAGGUUCCCGAGUGGCCAAAGGGAGCAGACUGUAAAUCUGUUGGCGACGCCUUCGCAGGUUCGAAUCCUGCCCUCUCCA